rnacentral:lncRNA from 1 species
AAAUCCCUGGAGGUGUACCAAAACGAAGGUGAGCAAGAGCAAACUUUGAGGACACGCAAAUUUCACCUUAUCUGACGUAGAGAAUCAUCACCAGCCACUUUAGCAAGAAGGUCGCGAUGUUGCGCGUCAGUAACUCUGAGUUCCUUCCGCAAGUCGGAGAUAAGACGCUCUUUGGCCUGCCAGUAGCCUGACACGAGUGAGCAACGCUUUCAACGAAGGUAUAACCAAAUCUAGUUUUUCUUCUUGUUUUACCCAGCUGAUGUUCUCCGACUGUGCUCCGAAGGCACGAAGAACAGCGGUGUACGCAUCUUGUUCUAGUGUUCGUAUCAAGUGGUCGAUGCCCUUCCCUCCAUUCGCUGCUCCAGCUUUGCCAUUUCCAGCC